UACGUAGGGUGCAAACGUUGCUCGGAAUCACUGGGCGUAAAGGGCGUGUAGGCGGGUAGGCAAGUCGGGCGUGAAAUCCCUGAGCUCAACUCAGGAACUGCACUCGAAACUGCUUAUCUUGAGUGCCGGAGAGGAAAGCGGAAUACCUGGUGUAGAGGUGAAAUUCGUAGAUAUCAGGUGGAACACCAGUGGCGAAGGCGGCUUUCUGGACGGCAACUGACGCUGAGACGCGAAAGCGUGGGGAGCAAACAGG
rnacentral:rRNA from 1 species